GACGAGCGCUGGCGGCGUGCUUAACACAUGCAAGUCGAACGGAAAGGCCCUGCUUUUGUGGGGUGCUCGAGUGGCGAACGGGUGAGUAACACGUGAGUAACCUGCCCUUGACUUUGGGAUAACUUCAGGAAACUGGGGCUAAUACCGGAUAGGAGCUCCUGCUGCAUGGUGGGGGUUGGAAAGUUUCGGCGGUUGGGGAUGGACUCGCGGCUUAUCAGCUUGUUGGUGGGGUAGUGGCUUACCAAGGCUUUGACGGGUAGCCGGCCUGAGAGGGUGACCGGCCACAUUGGGACUGAGAUACGGCCCAGACUCCUACGGGAGGCAGCAGUGGGGAAUAUUGCACAAUGGGCGGAAGCCUGAUGCAGCAACGCCGCGUGCGGGAUGACGGCCUUCGGGUUGUAAACCGCUUUCGCCUGUGACGAAGCGUGAGUGACGGUAAUGAGUAAAGAAGCACCGGCUAACUACGUG
rnacentral:rRNA from 1 species